UGAGUACAGAAGAGGAGAGCGGAAUUCCACGUGUAGCGGUGAAAUGCGUAGAUAUGUGGAGGAACACCAGUGGCGAAGGCGGCUCUCUGGUCUGUAACUGACGCUGAGGUGCGAAAGCGUGGGGAGCGAACAGGAUUAGAUACCCUGGUAGUCCACGCCGUAAACGAUGAGUGCUAGGUGUUAGGGGGUUUCCGCCCCUUAGUGCUGCAGUUAACGCAUUAAGCACUCCGCCUGGGGAGUACGGCCGCAAGGCUGAAACUCAAAAGAAUUGACGGGGGCCCGCACAAGCGGUGGAGCAUGUGGUUUAAUUCGAAGCAACGCGAAGAACCUUACCAGGUCUUGACAUCUUCGGAUGUCCCUAGAGAUAGGGAGUUCCCUUCGGGGACCGAAUGACAGGUGGUGCAUGGUUGUCGUCAGCUCGUGUCGUGAGAUGUUGGGUUAAGUCCCGCAACGAGCGCAACCCUUGAUCUUAGUUGCCAGCAUUUAGUUGGGCACUCUAAGGUGACUGCCGGUGACAAACCGGAGGAAGGUGGGGAUGACGUCAAAUCAUCAUGCCCCUUAUGACCUGGGCUACACACGUGCUACAAUGGAUGGAACAAAGGGCAGCGAAGCCGCGAGGUGUAGCAAAUCCCAUAAAUCCAUUCUCAGUUCGGAUUGCAGGCUGCAACUCGCCUGUAUGAAGCCGGAAUCGCUAGUAAUCGUGGAUCAGCAUGCCACGGUGAAUACGUUCCCGGGCCUUGUACACACCGCCCGUCACACCACGAGAGUUGGCAACACCCGAAGUCGGUGGGGUAACCUU
rnacentral:rRNA from 1 species